CCUACGGGAGGCUGCAGUGGGGGAUAUUGGACAAUGGGGGGAACCCUGAUCCAGCGACGCCGCGUGAGUGAAGAAGUAUUUCGGUAUGUAAAGCUCUGUCAGCAGGGACGAAAGCAAUGACGGUACCUGACCAAGAAGCCCCGGCUAACUACGUGCCAGCAGCCGCGGUAAUACGUAGGGGGCAAGCGUUCUCCGGAAUUACUGGGUGUAAAGGGAGCGUAGACGGUUAAGUAAGUCUGGAGUGAAAGGCCGGGGCCCAACCCCGGGACUGCUCUGGAAACUAUUGAACUUGAGUGCAGGGGAGGUAAGCGGAAUGCCUAGUGUAGCGGUGAAAUGCGUAGAUAUUAGGAGGAACACCAGUGGCGAAGGCGGCUUACUGGACUGUAACUGACGUUGAGGCUCGAAAGCGUGGGGAGCAAACAGGAUUAGAUACCCUGGUAGUC
rnacentral:rRNA from 1 species